rnacentral:rRNA from 1 species
CGUAGGGACCGAGCGUUGUCCGGAUUCAUUGGGCGUAAAGAGCUCGUAGGCGGCUGCUCAAGUCGAAUGUGAAACCUCGAGGCUUAACCUCGAGCCUGCAUUCGAUACUGGGCGGCUAGAGUCUGGUAGGGGGAUCUGGAAUUCCUGGUGUAGCGGUGGAAUGCGCAGAUAUCAGGAGGAACACCGGUGGCGAAGGCGGGAUCCUGGGCCAGUACUGACGCUGAGGAGCGAAAGCGUGGGGAGCAAACAGGAUUAGAUACCCUGGUAGUCCACGCCGUAAACGAUGGGCGCUAGGUGUGGGAGGUCAUCGACUCCUUCCGUGCCGCAGCUAACGCGUUAAGCGCCCCGCCUGGGGAGUACGGCCGCAAGGCUA